rnacentral:lncRNA from 1 species
UUGAAAGCCGUCUAUGUUUUUCCACUUAAAAACAACAGCAAAACAAAGUGUGAAUUGAGCCCCAUCAACCACUUGUUGAAUCUUAAUAAUAACCUUAAACAUUUGUUGUUUUGUAUGGUAACAUAAGAUAAAUAGGGGGGACAACUUCUCUCUGCAACGUACAACAAACACUUGAAUAGAAGAACAUAAAGGGGAAGGAAAACUAAAAAGAAAGAGACUUGUGAAAUCUACAAAAAAAAAAAAAGAGCUGCUAUAAGCAUUAGAUUUCCCAUGAGUCUAGUAGCAAUUGUACUGGCAAAGCAAAUACAAUCAGAACAACCACCAUCUCCUUCGUCCAUGCUUUC